GUCUACGGCCAUACCACCCUCAAUGCAUCAAAUCUCAUCUGAUCUUGGAAACUAAGCAGGGUCGGCCUGGUUAGUACUUGGAUAGGAGAAUGGGUAAACUGCCUUGCCUGAACU
rnacentral:rRNA from 1 species